UUGCUAAAAGCAGCGUAAAACCAAACUCACUCACUCCAACAUUGUGGAGUAGCUUUCCCGUUACCUCUGACAUAAUCCAUAUUGUAACGGCCUGAUCAUAUUGAUAUUAUUUUAUGUGCGCUUCCUCGAUUCCCUGAAGCCAAGGGGAGGGCACUCUAUUUGACUAUCGGCAAGACCGGGUAAUUUAUUUAAAGCAUGCAGAAAGAAAAGGCGCAAUGCAGAAUGCAGAACGGUGAACCACGAGGUGACACAGAAUGUCAAUUAAUCGUCUCUAAAGCCGCAAAGAAGGAAGAUAGUGAAAAAUAUAUAGUCAGAAAGAAAUGAAGAAUAAACUUUGAAGGCAUAGAGAGGAAUAGACAAUUCAGUGGUUUGGCUGUCACAUAUAUAGCGGACAUCAACCUGUGCAUCAUACAGCUAGCUUGACCUCUGUCUUUGCUAUCUGGCGGACAAAUGCGGCAUUGCCAUUGCCCUUGUUUAUAUCUAGUAGAGUUGUGCAUGUGCAGGCUUUGCAAUGGACUGAUAAUGUGUGAAGCCCAUUUCUGGCAUCCCACGCUGUGAUAUUGCUGGAAUAUUGCUAAAAGCAGUGUAAAACCUACCUCCCUCACUCACUGGGCGUAGAUGGAUAGCUGUCACUGUUUCCCACUACUGGCUGAGCCAAUUCUGUUGGGUGUUGAAGUUGUAAUAUGGACUGAGGCAAAGUAAACCUAUGUGAGUAUAGAGCCUGAUGUUGCAUUAAUCAUUUUAUGAAUGCACGCCAGUGCAUGAAUGUGGACAGUUAGAAGUCAGGUGGUCCGUUCCCUCAGAACCCACGACAGACCAGGCGAGUCCAGGCUUACAUUCCCCUGGACAACAGGUAAUACGAUUAGGUAAUUGUUGUAGGCCCACUGGCGCCCAAAUGCAGUUAUGACAGAACUCUUACACCACAGAGUUGUCCAUGGGAUCAGAGAUAUAUUUCUUCAGAUGGACUUUUGAAGCGUCUCUGUACAGGAAAGGAGUACUACAGGUGUUCUUACUGUUAAUUUAAUUGAUGGCUGUCUCCCUCCCAAGAAUGGUCACCUGCAUCCUUUUUUUGGUAUGCAAAAGAUGUAAGUUUGUUAUAUUUAUACACUAGCAUAUGUAAUAAAUCCAACUCAUGUCAA